rnacentral:rRNA from 1 species
UACGUAGGGGGCAAGCGUUGUCCGGAAUCAUUGGGCGUAAAGCGCGUGUAGGCGGCUCGGUAAGUCUGCUGUGAAAGUCCAGGGCUCAACCCUGGGAUGCCGGUGGAUACUGUCGAGCUCGAGUCCGGAAGAGGCGAGUGGAAUUCCUGGUGUAGCGGUGAAAUGCGCAGAUAUCCGGAAGAACACCGGUGGCGAAGGCGGUCUGCUGGGGUAAUGCUGACACUGAUGCGCGACAGCGUGGGGAGCAAACAGG